GCCCCGCCAGCCUCCGCCGUUAUCUGCCACCUCCCUUUCUCCCUCCCCCACCGCGAUUCGCAGCGUCGGCCCUGCAUCGAUCUACCCAAGGUAAGUUUUUCUCCUCCAUGGUAAGUUUUCUAUUAGGAAAGAUUACAAUAGUAAAUAUAGAAUGAUUUCUCUACUUUAGAAAGAAGUUUUUUUUGGAAAGAUUAAAAAGUAUAUACAAGGUAAAUGUUUAACAAUAGAAAUUUUAAAACCUAGAUUUUUAGUUAUAAAUUUAUUAGUUCACUAACAAUUCUGCUGCAUCCACUCAAUCGCCCGCCUCCACCAUUUUCCUUGACAGACUCGGUCGGCUGUCAAUUCUGCACCCCGUAUCUGAUCUAAGAGUUUUCCGGAACAAGCGUUUGAUUGAGGCAUUGCUCUUCAUUUCGUGCCUAUGGAUUAUGGAAGUCAGAUAUAUUGAUUUUUAAGUUGAUUCGGUUUAAUUUUAAUGCGUAUCUAUGCAUUUCAUUUCGUGCCUAUGGAUUAUAGAAGUCAGAUAUAUUGAUUUUUAAGUUGAUUCGGUUUAAUUUUGAUGCGUAUCUAUGCAUUUAGAAUCCUGCUUCGGUUUGUGUUUAUUUCUGUUUUGGUGGUAUUGUUGUAUUGGUUGAUGUCCAUUUACUAUCCUGCUUCGGGUUGUUUCUCUUUUGAAUUUAUGAAUUUUCUGUUUCCGCUAAUUUGUGAUCAUGUUUGAAAAAAUGGUUGCUUUACCUGUAACGUGUGUUUUUGUGUUUCUUGAUUAUCAAAAUAUGCCUUUUUUUGCUGCUUGAAUUGUUGCCGUAUAGUGUAGCCGUGACUUAGGCCUUUUGACUGAUUGUUCAGCUCUCUCAGCCAUGGUUUCUGUUACCUACAUUAUCUCGAUAAUGACCUCUUCUUCCUCUUCGUAGAAGAAGAGGUGAACAUAUAUAUAUAUAUAUAUAUACAUAUAUACUGGUAAAUAAUAUUGAAUCAAUGAUUG
rnacentral:lncRNA from 1 species